AGCAGCCGCGGUAAUUCCAGCUCCAAUAGCGUAUAUUAAAGUUGCUGCAGUUAAAAAGCUCGUAGUUGAAUUUCGGGACUAAUAUGUCGGUCGUGCCUCGGUACGUACUGGUAUUUUUGGUUUCUCCCUUCUGACGAACCUUGAUGUCAUUAAUUUGGUGUUAUGGGGAGUUAGGACUGUUACUUUGAAAAAAUUAGAGUGUUUAAAGCAGGCAUUAGCUUGAAUACAUUAGCAUGGAAUAAUGAAGUAGGACGUUCGAUCCUAUUUUGUUGGCUUCUAGGAUCAACGUAAUGAUUAAUAGGGAUAGUUGGGGGCAUUAGUAUUCAAUUGUCAGAGGUGAAAUUCUUGGAUUUAUUGAAGACUAACUACUGCGAAAGCAUUUGCCAAGGAUGUUUUCAUUAAUCAAGAACGAAAGUUAGGGGAUCGAAGACGAUCAGAUACCGUCGUAGUCUUAACCAUAAACUAUGCCGACUAGGGAUCGGAUGAUGUUAAUUUUUAAUGACUCAUUCGGCGCCUUACG
rnacentral:rRNA from 1 species